rnacentral:sRNA from 1 species
UCUUACUUUCUGUAUACUGCAGAUCAUCUUGUUGCAUAGUUGGUAGUCACUGUAGGGUCUUUUGAAUUCACGAGGCUUGUCUCCUCAACCUUUAGCACUCCACUAAGCUUUCCACAUAAAAAUGUGUAGAGAAAGUGUCUUACAGUAAUUCACUGAAAUUUUGUUUUGGUGGCAUUUCCAGUUCAUCCAAACCUCUCUCGAACAUAUCUAAAACCUGGGUUAUUGUUGGUCGAUGCAUAGGUAAUACUUGUACACACCACAAACCAAUUAAAGUCAUCUUUUUGGCAAUUUGCUCAACCUCACUUGUGACUUGACAAGCUUGUAAUCCGUCAUCCAGAGCAAAGUGAUCAUAAAUCCAAUCUGGAAAAUACUUUUCACUUGAAUUUUCAACCAUUUGUUUCGCAUUUUUCCGGCCUCCGACCAUCUCUAGCAGCAUCAUUCCAUAACUGUAAACAUCUGACUUUGUUGAAACAACUCCAAAGGUUCGAUAGAUAACUUCAGGAGCGAUGAAUCCAAUUGUUCCUCUAGCACCUGUCAUUGAAAGCUUGCUCUCCUUGGUACGGCACAGUUUGGCUAAACCAAAAUCAGCAAUCUUUGGGCAAAAAUCCUGGUCUAGAAGGAUGUUUUGAGGCUUUAUAUCGAAAUGGAUGAUUCGUGUGUUACAACUAUGGUGCAAGUAUUCUAGCCCACGGGCAACCCUGAUUGCAAUUCCGUAAAGUUUUUCCCACCCUAGAAUUUCUUUGGGAUUUUCUGAAUAAAUAUAGUUGUCCAAAGAACCAUUGGGCAUGUACUCAUAAACAAGAGCUCGUUUUGAGCCCUCCAAACAAAACCCAAAUAAGCUAACGAUAUUAAUAUGAGAGGUCCUGCCAAUGCUCAUAACCUCAUUCACAAACUCCUCUCCAUUUCCUUUUGAGUCAUGCAAGAAUUUCACAGCAACCAUACGACCAUCUUGUAACCUUCCUUUGAAUACGACACCAUAACCUCCUUCUCCAAGCUUAUAAUUAAGAAAUGAUGUUAUCUUUGUUACCUCUGAAUACUUGUAUCUUGUUGGAGCUAUGGAUCCAUAAGAUUCUAUGAGGGCCUCAAUGUUCCUUUCACUGGUGCUGCUAGUCUUUGUGCAAAGGAGAUGCCGUAGUUUUUUCCCCUUCCUAUGCCAUAUCAGCACAUAUAGACAUGGUAAGAGCAAGCCUGCUGCUGCUGCUGUCAAAACUGAGAUUAAAACUCAUGUUAUUUCCU